UACGGGGGGGGCAAGCGUUGUUCGGAAUUACUGGGCGUAAAGGGUUCGUAGGUGGCCUGCUAAGUCAAACGUGAAAUCCCUCAGCUUAACUGGGGAACUGCGUCUGAGACUGGUGGGCUUGAGUGCAGGAGAGGAACGCGGAAUUCCAGGUGUAGCGGUGAAAUGCGUAGAUAUCUGGAGGAACACCGGUGGCGAAGGCGACGUCCUGGACCGGCAUUGACGCUGAGGCGCGAAAGCCAGGGGAGCAAACGGG
rnacentral:rRNA from 1 species